rnacentral:lncRNA from 1 species
ACUGAUUGUGUUUGCAGGUUGGCCAUUUCUCACUCAGCUGUGGACCCGAGCAAAGAUCACCUGCCUGAGUUGGGCUUUCUUCUCUUUGCUUCUGGCAGUGUUCCCACUGAUGCCUGUUGUGGGUAGAAAGCCAGACCUUUCUCUAGUAACUAGGAAUCAACCCCAGGACCUUGUACUUGCUAGGCAACAUUUUUAUGACUAACCAUUCAAAUUGUGUUAAAAACAUAUAUUCUCUAUGUUAAUGGUACAUUUCCCCUCAGUGUAACCUAGACAAGUGUUUAAAACAGUUACUUGCUUUUGCGUUUUAGCACCUACCGUCACUGUCCCCCAACCCCAUGGGUGCCUGUGUGUGCUUGACUGAGUUAUCUGAGUUUCACCUUGCUGCUGGUCUGUACUUUUUUUCCUGAGGCAGAGUCUGUAUGUGUAGCCCCAUCUGGCCUCGAAUGCAGUGUCCUGCCUCAGCCUUCUGAGUACUGGAAUUGUAGACAUAUAUAUAGUCCACACCUUUAAAUCAUGCAGUUGCCUUUGCUGCAUAGAGUGCUCUGGCAUUUCUAAAAACAUUUUGCCUAACCUUUAAUAGAUGGGGGUAUAUCUUUUUUUUUUAACUGUUAAGAGAUUAACUGAAUAUUCUUAAGCGUCUGUUACUUUAAGAACUUUAUGUUGGGGGGCUGGGGAUUUAGCUCAGUGGUAGAGCGCUUGCCUAGGAAGCGCAAGGCCCUGGGUUCGGUCCCCA